CGGGCCGCGGCGCAGCCUGCAAACCCCGGCGGCGUGUGGGGAUGGCGGCGACGGCGGUGACGGUUGGCAGGCUGCUGCGGCUCCGCGCGGCCGGGGCCGAGGGACACUGGCGUCGGCUGCGUGGCGCGGGGCUGCCGCGGGGCUUCCUGCAGACCGCCUCGGCCGACGGGGAUGCGGCCCAGAGGCGGCAGGUGGCUCACUUCACUUUCCAGCCUGACCCGGAGCCACUGGAGUACGGGCAAACUCAGAAAAUGAAUCUCUUCCAGGCAGUAACAAGUGCCUUAGAUAACUCACUGGCCAAAGACCCUACUGCAGUAAUAUUUGGUGAAGAUGUUGCCUUUGGUGGAGUCUUUAGAUGUACUGUUGGCUUGCGAGACAAGUAUGGUAAAGAUAGAGUUUUUAAUACCCCAUUGUGUGAACAAGGAAUUGUUGGAUUUGGAAUUGGAAUUGCAGUCACUGGUGCUACCGCCAUUGCGGAAAUUCAGUUUGCAGAUUAUAUUUUCCCUGCUUUUGAUCAGAUUGUUAAUGAAGCCGCCAAGUAUCGCUAUCGCUCUGGGGAUCUUUUUAAUUGUGGAAGCCUCACCAUCCGGUCCCCUUGGGGCUGUGUCGGCCAUGGGGCUCUCUACCAUUCCCAGAGUCCUGAAGCUUUUUUUGCCCACUGCCCAGGAAUCAAGGUGGUUAUACCCAGAAGCCCUUUCCAGGCCAAGGGACUUCUUUUGUCAUGCAUAGAGGAUAAAAAUCCUUGUAUAUUUUUUGAACCUAAAAUACUUUACAGGGCAGCAGUGGAACAGGUUCCCAUAGAACCAUACAACAUCCCGCUGUCCCAGGCCGAAGUCAUCCAAGAAGGGAGUGAUGUCACUCUAGUUGCCUGGGGCACUCAGGUUCAUGUGGUCCGAGAGGUGGCUUCCAUGGCUCAUGAGAAGCUUGGAGUGUCUUGUGAGGUCAUUGAUCUGAGGACUAUAAUACCUUGGGAUGUGGAUACAGUUUGCAAGUCUGUGAUCAAAACAGGGCGGCUGCUAGUUAGUCACGAGGCUCCCUUGACGGGCGGCUUUGCCUCUGAGAUCAGCUCGACGGUUCAGGAAGAAUGUUUCCUGAACCUGGAGGCUCCUAUAUCGAGGGUAUGUGGGUACGACACGCCGUUCCCUCACAUUUUUGAGCAGUUCUACAUCCCAGACAAAUGGAAGUGCUAUGACGCCCUUCGAAAAAUGAUCAACUAUUGACCACAGUAUAUAACAUAUAAUGGAAGCCAGAUGUUGACCCAGAUAUAAGGAGCUUCAUCCAUCCCAUCAUCCAGAGUGUGAAAAGCUGCAUUCGCCUGAAUCAAUACAUUUGUGGCCUGACCUGGAAAAGCAUAGGAAGAUAGUGCAUCAGAGUUACUUCCAUCGAGGACAAGACCCAUGAGGAUUCAUUCACAGAGCUGGUAAGACUGUUGGUGACUGCUCGUUCCCAUGGUGGAGUGAGCUGCAUGUGAAGGAAGCAGGGGAGAGAAGAAGCAGCAUGGCUGUAAGCAUAUCUGCAUCUAUAGUUACGUUAUAGUGUAAAAUAGAGCUGCCAUACGAGCCAGCAAUCCCACUUGUGGGCAUAUAUCCGGAGAAAAACAUGGUUCAAAAGGAUGCAUGCACCCCAGUGUUCAUGGCAGCACUGUUUACAAUAGCCAAGACAUGGAAGCAACCUCAAUGAUCAUCAGCAGAAGAAUGGAUAAAGAAGAUGUGGUAGAUAUACACAAUGGAAUAUUAGCCAUUAAAAAGAAUGAAAUAAUGUCAUUUGCAGCAAAAUGGAUGGACCUGGAGAUUAUCACACUAAGUAGGUUGGACAGAGAAAGACAAAUACCAUAUGAUAUCGCUUAUAUGUGGAAUCUAAAAAAAAUGUUGCAAAUAAACUUAUUUACAAAACAGAAA